rnacentral:rRNA from 1 species
GGGUUGUGAGAUUAAGCGACUAAGCGUACACGGUGGAUGCCCUGGCAGUCAGAGGCGAUGAAGGACGUGCUAAUCUGCGAUAAGCGUCGGUAAGGUGAUAUGAACCGUUAUAACCGGCGAUUUCCGAAUGGGGAAACCCAGUGUGUUUCGACACACUAUCAUUAACUGAAUCCAUAGGUUAAUGAGGCGAACCGGGGAACUGAAACAUCUAAGUACCCGAGGAAAAGAAAUCAACCGAGAUUCCCCCAGUAGCGGCGAGCGAACGGGGAGCAGCCCAGAGCCUGAAUCAGUGUGUGUGUUAGUGGAAGCGCUUGGAAAGGCGCGCGAUACAGGGUGACAGCCCCGUACACAAAAAUGCACAUGCUGUGAGCUCGAUGAGUAGGGCGGGACACGUGGUAUCCUGUCUGAAUAUGGGGGGACCAUCCUCCAAGGCUAAAUACUCCUGACUGACCGAUAGUGAACCAGUACCGUGAGGGAAAGGCGAAAAGAACCCCGGCGAGGGGAGUGAAAAAGAACCUGAAACCGUGUACGUACAAGCAGUGGGAGCACGCUUAGGCGUGUGACUGCGUACCUUUUGUAUAAUGGGUCAGCGACUUAUAUUCUGUAGCAAGGUUAACCGAAUAGGGGAGCCGAAGGGAAACCGAGUCUUAACUGGGCGUUAAGUUGCAGGGUAUAGACCCGAAACCCGGUGAUCUAGCCAUGGGCAGGUUGAAGGUUGGGUAACACUAACUGGAGGACCGAACCGACUAAUGUUGAAAAAUUAGCGGAUGACUUGUGGCUGGGGGUGAAAGGCCAAUCAAACCGGGAGAUAGCUGGUUCUCCCCGAAAGCUAUUUAGGUAGCGCCUCGUGAAUUCAUCUCCGGGGGUAGAGCACUGUUUCGGCAAGGGGGUCAUCCCGACUUACCAACCCGAUGCAAACUGCGAAUACCGGAGAAUGUUAUCACGGGAGACACACGGCGGGUGCUAACGUCCGUCGUGAAGAGGGAAACAACCCAGACCGCCAGCUAAGGUCCCAAAGUCAUGGUUAAGUGGGAAACGAUGUGGGAAGGCCCAGACAGCCAGGAUGUUGGCUUAGAAGCAGCCAUCAUUUAAAGAAAGCGUAAUAGCUCACUGGUCGAGUCGGCCUGCGCGGAAGAUGUAACGGGGCUAAACCAUGCACCGAAGCUGCGGCAGCGACGCUUAUGCGUUGUUGGGUAGGGGAGCGUUCUGUAAGCCUGCGAAGGUGUGCUGUGAGGCAUGCUGGAGGUAUCAGAAGUGCGAAUGCUGACAUAAGUAACGAUAAAGCGGGUGAAAAGCCCGCUCGCCGGAAGACCAAGGGUUCCUGUCCAACGUUAAUCGGGGCAGGGUGAGUCGACCCCUAAGGCGAGGCCGAAAGGCGUAGUCGAUGGGAAACAGGUUAAUAUUCCUGUACUUGGUGUUACUGCGAAGGGGGGACGGAGAAGGCUAUGUUGGCCGGGCGACGGUUGUCCCGGUUUAAGCGUGUAGGCUGGUUUUCCAGGCAAAUCCGGAAAAUCAAGGCUGAGGCGUGAUGACGAGGCACUACGGUGCUGAAGCAACAAAUGCCCUGCUUCCAGGAAAAGCCUCUAAGCAUCAGGUAACAUCAAAUCGUACCCCAAACCGACACAGGUGGUCAGGUAGAGAAUACCAAGGCGCUUGAGAGAACUCGGGUGAAGGAACUAGGCAAAAUGGUGCCGUAACUUCGGGAGAAGGCACGCUGAUAUGUAGGUGAAGUCCCUCGCGGAUGGAGCUGAAAUCAGUCGAAGAUACCAGCUGGCUGCAACUGUUUAUUAAAAACACAGCACUGUGCAAACACGAAAGUGGACGUAUACGGUGUGACGCCUGCCCGGUGCCGGAAGGUUAAUUGAUGGGGUCAGCGCAAGCGAAGCUCUUGAUCGAAGCCCCGGUAAACGGCGGCCGUAACUAUAACGGUCCUAAGGUAGCGAAAUUCCUUGUCGGGUAAGUUCCGACCUGCACGAAUGGCGUAAUGAUGGCCAGGCUGUCUCCACCCGAGACUCAGUGAAAUUGAACUCGCUGUGAAGAUGCAGUGUACCCGCGGCAAGACGGAAAGACCCCGUGAACCUUUACUAUAGCUUGACACUGAACAUUGAGCCUUGAUGUGUAGGAUAGGUGGGAGGCUUUGAAGUGUGGACGCCAGUCUGCAUGGAGCCGACCUUGAAAUACCACCCUUUAAUGUUUGAUGUUCUAACGUUGACCCGUAAUCCGGGUUGCGGACAGUGUCUGGUGGGUAGUUUGACUGGGGCGGUCUCCUCCUAAAGAGUAACGGAGGAGCACGAAGGUUGGCUAAUCCUGGUCGGACAUCAGGAGGUUAGUGCAAUGGCAUAAGCCAGCUUGACUGCGAGCGUGACGGCGCGAGCAGGUGCGAAAGCAGGUCAUAGUGAUCCGGUGGUUCUGAAUGGAAGGGCCAUCGCUCAACGGAUAAAAGGUACUCCGGGGAUAACAGGCUGAUACCGCCCAAGAGUUCAUAUCGACGGCGGUGUUUGGCACCUCGAUGUCGGCUCAUCACAUCCUGGGGCUGAAGUAGGUCCCAAGGGUAUGGCUGUUCGCCAUUUAAAGUGGUACGCGAGCUGGGUUUAGAACGUCGUGAGACAGUUCGGUCCCUAUCUGCCGUGGGCGCUGGAGAACUGAGGGGGCUGCUCCUAGUACGAGAGGACCGGAGUGGACGCAUCACUGGUGUUCGGGUUGUCAUGCCAAUGGCACUGCCCGGUAGCUAAAUGCGGAAGAGAUAAGUGCUGAAAGCAUCUAAGCACGAAACUUGCCCCGAGAUGAGUUCUCCCUGACUCCUUGAGAGUCCUGAAGGAACGUUGAAGACGACGACGUUGAUAGGCCGGGUGUGUAAGCGCAGCGAUGCGUUGAGCUAACCGGUACUAAUGAACCGUGAGGCUUAACCUUACAACGCCGAAGGUGUUU